UGAUGUUAGCGGCGGACGGGUGAGUAACACGUGGGUAACCUACCUAUAAGACUGGGAUAACUCCGGGAAACCGGGGCUAAUACCGGAUAAUAUUUUGAACCGCAUGGUUCAAUAGUGAAAGACGGUUUCGGCUGUCACUUAUAGAUGGACCCGCGCCGUAUUAGCUAGUUGGUAAGGUAACGGCUUACCAAGGCGACGAUACGUAGCCGACCUGAGAGGGUGAUCGGCCACACUGGAACUGAGACACGGUCCAGACUCCUACGGGAGGCAGCAGUAGGGAAUCUUCCGCAAUGGGCGAAAGCCUGACGGAGCAACGCCGCGUGAGUGAUGAAGGUCUUCGGAUCGUAAAACUCUGUUGUUAGGGAAGAACAAAUUUGUUAGUAAC
rnacentral:rRNA from 1 species